rnacentral:rRNA from 1 species
GACGAACGCUGGCGGCGUGCCUAAUACAUGCAAGUAGGACGCAGUUGCGAACGGGUGAGUAACGCGUAUGUAACUGCCUAUUAGUGGGGGCUAACUAUUGGAAACGAUAGCUAAUACCGCCUCCUAGUAGAUUGACCUGCGUUGUAUGAGCUAGUAGGUAGGGUAAUGGGCUACCUAGGCAACGAUACAUAGCCGACCUGAGAGGGUGAUCGGGCAAAAUGGGAAUGAGAAAAGGCACAGACUCCGACGGGCGGCAGAAGGAGGGAAUCGUCGGCAAUGGGGGGAACCCUGAACGAGAAACGCCGCGUGAGUGAAGAAGGUUUUCGGAUGGGAAAGCUCUGUUGGUAAGGAAGCGGUACUUAACCAGAAAGAGACGGAGAACUACGUGACAGCAGCCGCGGUAAUUC